UACGGGGGGAGCAAGCGUUGUUCGGAUUUACUGGGCGUAAAGGGCGCGUAGGCGGCCACUGCAAGUCGGUUGUGAAAUCUCCGGGCUUAACCCGGAAAGGUCAAUCGAUACUGCAGGGCUAGAGUGCAGAAGGGGCAACUGGAAUUCUCGGUGUAGCGGUGAAAUGCGUAGAUAUCGAGAGGAACACCUGCGGCGAAGGCGGGUUGCUGGGCUGACACUGACGCUGAAGCGCGAAAGCUAGGGGAGCAAACAGG
rnacentral:rRNA from 1 species